rnacentral:rRNA from 1 species
AACGAACGCUGGCGGCAUGCUUAACACAUGCAAGUCGAACGGAACCUUCGGGCCUAGUGGCGCACGGGGGCGUGACGAGUGGGAACCUGCCCUUAGGUUCGCAAUAACUCCCCGUAAGGGGUCCUAAUGCCGGAUAAUGUCUUCGGACCAAAGAGGUAUCGCCAUUGGAUGGGGCCGGGUUGGAUUAGGCGGUUGGUAGGGUAAAAGCGGACCAAGGCGACGAUGCAUAGCUGGUGUGGUAACAUGAUUAGCCACGCUGGGAAUGAGACACGGACUAGAAUCCUACGGGAGGGAGCAGUAGAGAAUAUUGGACGAUGGGGGAUAGUCUAGUACCGCAACGCGGCGUAAGUGGUGCAUGCCUUAGGGUUGUGAAUCUCUUUUAGCCGGGAUGAUAGUGACAGUACCGGGAGAAUAAGCACCGGCUAACUACGUG